rnacentral:rRNA from 1 species
GAAUGGCAUCACGAGGGUUAAGCUGUCUCCCCUCUCUAAUCAGUGAAACUGAUCUCCCCGUGAAGAAGCGGGGAUAUUUUUAUAAGACGAGAAGACCCUAUGGAGCUUUAAACCGCGCAACAACUGCUUUCCCACCUUAUACUCCCAGGAUAAUAAAUUAUAUCUUAGCACAAUGUUAACCGGUUUUCGGUUGGGGUGACCGCGGAGCAAAAAUUAACCUCCACGAUGAAAGAAACUUUAUUUCUUAACCCAGAGCUACAACUCAAAGUAUCAAAAACCUGACAUAAAUUGAUCCAAUCUAUUUGAUCAACGAACCAAGUUACCCUAGGGAUAACAGCGCAAUCCACUUCAAGAGCCCCUAUCGACAAGUGG